rnacentral:lncRNA from 1 species
AUUUAUUUCAAUAAAUUAGUUAGGAUGUGGAAGACGCUUCUCACAAUCCAAAUUUCUCCUUAGUUUUAGUAUGAUUAGGAAACGUUCGCUAAUCAAACACUAGUUAACAAGUUGCCAAGGAACGUCCUUGGGGUUUUUUACUUUUCAACUGUUAACUGCCUUAAGACUUAGAGAAACCUAAUUCUAACCUUGCCAACCGCGUGGUCAAGUUUAGAUUAUGCAACCGAUUAUACUUGAGUUUAAACAAUCUAAGCAAUUACGGACCUAAAUCAUUCAAACAAUAUAUUACUCAUGCAAUUAAAAGCAAUAGGCCUUAAUUGAUUCUAAAAGCAAAGCAAUAAUAAUAGAAAGAUCAAGUUGCAUAAAUAUUGAAAAUAAAUAAGAGUUUAAUAAUGGAGUUUUAAAUCUCCCAAUUCAUCACAAAUAUGAAAUUUCCCAACUUCAACUAGAAAAUAAGGUGUUUAGCCACUCAUGGUGGACAAAAACACAAAGAGAUAGAAGAAAGGAAGAUGGAGAGGCUGUCGCAGGCUUGCUGCUGUAAUUCUGCAGUGGUUCCGAUGGUGGAGAUGAUCCUUGCUGGUUUUGAUGCUGUCCCUUUUAUAGAUGGAGAAACAUAAUCCAAUUAGGGUUUGGAAAUCCUAAUCUUGACUUGGUCUUUUAUAGUCUUUGAUUCCUCUUUUGAUUUUGUAUUUAAUUGUGAAUGGAAUUGUUUGAGUGAAAAGACCUUCUCGUGGCUCUUGGAAUUGACUUUGUAGUGUUUGAAGUAGGAUUGAGCUUCUCCUCUUUUGAAUUUUGAUUUUCUGCUCUUCUUUCCCGCGCUUCUGGUUUCUCUGGCGUUAGUGUGAUUUGGGCGGGUGAUUUGGGCAAAUUACUUGCCCAAAUCGUUUCUGUGAAUCACUUCCAGGUUUCUGCCUUUAGCCUUCUGCUUUGGUUUCCUGUGGGUGAUUUGGUCAAAUCACUCUGACCCAAUCAAUUUUUCAGCUUUUUCUGCACUUUUUCUCCAACUUUCCAUUUUCUCCCUUUUCUGCAAAAACAUUACAAAAACAUAAAUUAAAAUGAAAAAUUGUGUAAUUAAACAGUAAUAAAGAUAGAAAAAAUGUGGCUAAAUUAUGUUUGAUGAAAUACCCUCACACCUAACCUUUUGCUUGUCCUCAAGCAACAAAUAACUUAGUCAAUCAAGCCUCUUUUUCUUUUGAGCCUAAGUACCACUUAAUCAGCCCCCCUUGAUUCCCAAAUUGAAGCACUACGGUGUAGAGUAUAUGCACUUAAGGUUGCCCUCUCUUUCUUUGUUUCUUCCCACCCACCAUGGCCAAGAAAAAGUUUUCUAUUUGAUCAUGCUUAUUGUUUCAUUUUAGGCUUAAUGCAACCUCUAAGAGUGACUUGCCUCUUUUUAUUUUCAUUCAGCAGCACUUUUUCUUAUUCUUGCCUGAAAAAGUCACCAACCUUUUUACGCGAAGGUGCAUAUUGGUGAUACCCACUCCCGGUUACUCAGUUGGUCACUUGUUCAAGUGGCUACUAGCUCUGUUCAUAGUCUUUGACCAUCGAAACAGGUUAUGUUUUGUGCUUUUUGAUUUUGCUGAGUUAUUAUUUUUUUUUUCUUUUCUUUUUCUUUUUUUCAUAACAGUUUGGGCAAAUCAGCUCAUAGAGAGUCACACUAACUUUUUAUUGCAUGUAUAUAUAUUUUUCCCUUGACCAUAGCAAGUGCAAAGAUCCAAUUUAAGAGAAAAACUCCAUAAGUGAAGGUAACACACUGUAAAUUAUUCAAUUUAGGCUUAAAGGGUUGGAAAAUUUAAUGGGGUCAUGAGAUAGGAGGCUCUUUUAACUUUGUCAUCUAUGCUGAGUAGAGCAAAGGCUAAAACAAAAUCUGUGUGUGUGUGCAUGUGUGCAGAAGUGAAUAUGAGUGCAAAAAGAAAUGUGUGUGAGAGAAAAAAAAAGUUGGUGUGUGUAAAAGGGUAGAAAAUGCAAAAAGAAGAAAAAAGAAAGCAAAAGAUGGUGCAAACAGUGCAAAAAUAUUCCCCAGUACCCCCACACCUAGUCUAAACAUUAUCCUCAAUGUAAAACAUAUAGAGAAAAAUUAAGAGAGAAAGGGACUUCCUGAUCUAGGGGUGAUUUGGUCAGUGAUUUGGGCAAAUCACUCGGCCAAAUCACUGGCUGCCAUGGUCUGUGGGCAGAAAGUUGUCCACCAGCAAUUGCAGUAGGUGCUCCAUGUGUAUGAUUCGGGCCUCCAUUUUGUCAAGGCGAGAUUCUGCAGAUUGAUCAACUGUUGGAGGUUCUGCUGAUUUGGACAGUGAUUUGGGCAAAUCACAAUCACCUUUGCUGUAGUUAAGUUCUGCUGAUUUUUCCAUCGAUUUGCGCAAAUCGCCUAUGCUGGGUUGCCUCCCAGUAGCACCCUGGUUUAAAGUCGUGGGCUGGACUUUCCUGACUUGAUCAAGGCUCAAGUAAUUGGGGGAGGGAAAAGAGUCCCAACAGAAUUAAGUAAGAAGUGCAGCACACCUUUCGUUUUGGUUAUAACCCAUCCUAUUUCUUUUAUGUACUCAUGAAGUAACAUGUUUAGUUUCUCCUCUUUCAAGUGAGGUGUGCCUCUAGCCCCUAUGUUUGAAUUUUUUAGGUGAUUGGGCAGUACUUUGAACUCCAAUUCAUAUUUCUCCAUAAAUGGUGGCUGCAAUCUGGUACUGAACUUGGGCAAAUCGAAUUCUGCUUGCACUGAUGAUUUGGGCAAAUCAAAAUCUGUCGGCGCUGCUGAUUUGGGCAAAUUGAAUUCUACCUGUACAAGUGAUCUGGGCAAAUCAGAUUCUGCCUGUACAAGUGAUUUGGGCAAAUCGCCUCUAGACCAGUCUGUGCAGCAUGUUGUCUCUUCUGUUUUUGUUUCUUUCAAAUUUUUCCUAUUCUCUUCAUCCUCUUGGCUGGUGUCCCUUGGUAUUUGUUUGACAGCAUCUAGGAGAGGUAUAUUGAUCUCCACUUUGUGAAAGGUUGCAAGUAUUUCUUUCUCUUCUUUUUCUUUUUGUGAUCUUGCAAAUCUCUUUGGGAAGGGAGGAGGUACCUUGAACUUUUCUGCUGGUUGCUGUAUUGUUUUUUGCCUCCGACUAGAUUCUGCCUGGUCUGUUGAUUUGGGCAAAUCAAUUUCUGCCCUUUCUGGUGAUUUGGGCAAAUCGAUUUUGCCUGGCUGUCCUGUCUGUCCACUGAUUGGGUCCGCGAUUUGGGCAAAUCGAUGCCCCUGAUCACUUUCCGGCAGUUUCUCCUUAGCAACCUGUUUUUGAAUUUGGGCAGAUCGCAGCUCAUCCUUGCUGUCUUGAAGCUUUUUCCCACUCCUUAGUGUAAUGGCACUAACAUUCUGCCUUGGAUUGAUUUCAGUUUGGGAGGGUAGCUUUCCUUGUGAUUCAAGCUUACUCAUUGAAGUGGCCAUUUGCUGCUCAAGGUUUUGCACCGAAUUUGCUAAGGAUUUCACGAUCUCUUCAAGGGAAGUGUUGGACUUUUGAGGUGCUGCUUAGGCUGGAUUUCUUUGUUGAUAGCUUGGAUAUUGAUUGGCCCUUGCAUAACUGAAGUUCGGAUGGUCCCUCCAACCUGGGUUGUAGGUGUUAGAAUAAGGAUCAUACCUCCUUUGCCCAUUAAAUCCUCGUACUUGCUGGUCCUCUUCUUGAAGGGAGAGACAUAGGUCAGUAGGGUGACUCAAGUUUGCACAUAUUCCACAUGGUUUGGGCUGCUGAAUCUGCUGGACUUGUUGGGCUUGACCCACAACAAGGCUACGGACAACAUUGAUGAGAUUAGAAAUUUGGGAUGCUAAAGUGGAUGUACUCACCUCAUUCACCCUUCUUGGUGGCUGUUCUUGGUCUCCAAAUUGCUGUGAGGCUGCUGCAAUGGUGGAAAUUAAAUCCCUUAUGGCUUGAGGUGACUUGUCUUCAAUUGAUCCUCCACAUGCUGCGCCUAUGAACUUUCUUUCCGAAGGUAGCAAACCUCCAUAGAAGUAUUCAAUGAGUGACUUAUCAAAGAUGUCAUGUUGAGGGCAGCUUGUGCACAAUCGACUGAAUCUUUCCCAAUAUUCAUAUAGCUCUUCAUAAUCCUUUUGCUUGAUGCAACUGAUCUCUCUUCUGAUGCCAAUAGCUUUUGAGGUUGGGAAGUAUUUGCUCAAAAAGACUCUCACCAUCCCGUCCCAUGAAGUGAUGGAUCCAUGUGGUAAAUAGAUCAACCAAUCUUUGGCAAAAUCAUCAAGAGAAAAGGAAAAAGCUCUUAAUUUAACAUGCUCUUGGGAAAUACCUUGAGGCCUCAUUGUUGAACACACAAUGUGAAAUUCUUUAAGGUGCUUGUAUGGAUCUUCAUUUUUCAGACUUCUGAAUUUUGGAAGGAAAUGAAUUAAUCCAGUUUUGAGCUCAAAAGGGGCUGCCAAAGGUGGGUAAGCGAUGCACCAUAGUGCUUGAUCAUCCAAGGGUGUUGCUAGUUCACGAAGAGUUCUUUCUUGUGCCAUUGGAGAUCUUGCCUCAACGUUUUUAGCUUCAAAUUCAGCAAGGACAGCAGCUGGUUCAAGAGUAGUAGCUGCUGCAUUUUCUAACUCUUCAGGUGCUAUUGUGACUAUCUUUAUAACAGCUGGUUUAGCUACUGUUUUAGGGGCUGGUUCUGGGAUUUUGUUAGCAAAAAUUUCUGGUUUUAGGGCUGAUUCUGGUGCAGUUUUAAGGGUUGGUUUUGAGUGCAGUAGCUUGUGCAGCAACAGAUUCAAUAAGUGCAGCAUGUACAGCAGUUUCAGCAAUUGGUUCAGCAACUUAUUCAACAGGUACAACAACGAUUUGUGCAGCAGGUUGUAUGGCAGAUACCAGAUUUGUUGCUGUUGUUGAUGAAGAUGGUUUGAGGCUUGGUUCCUCAAGUUUGCUUGCUUCCUCAAGCUCUUGGCAGUACGUUCAAUCUCUGGAUUGUAAAGAAGAGUUUCUUGACGAUUAGCCUUGGUCAUAAAAGGAAAAUACGUUAGUUAGAUCAAAUCCCCGGCAACGGCGCCAAUUUUUGAUAGCGAUUGUGGAAGCCGUAAAAAAUAAAUCUAUUUUCAAUCAACAAAAUAAUUUGUAGAUAGUGGCAAUAGGGUCGAACCACAUGGAUUUGACACUACGAAUUUUCCUAAUAAUGACUUGGACAAAUAAAUAACAAAAGUAAAUAAAAGGAGGGGGGUUUGUUUUGAAGAAUUACAACUGAGUAAAAGAAAGCAGUAAUUAAAUAAAUGAGUAAAUCCAUGGGAGAAGGAUUCUAGUUGAAGUAUGGAUUUAUUUCAGCUUGUUUAGAAUUGAUCAUUGAUCUUUUUGAUACCCCUAUUUAUUUCAAUAAAUUAGUUAGGAUGUGGAAGACGCUUCUCACAAUCCAAAUUUCUCCUUAGUUUUAGUAUGAUUAAGAAAUAUUCGCUAAUCAAACACUAGUUAACAAGUUGCCAAGGAACGUCCUUGGGGUUUUUUACUUUUCAACUGUUAACUGCCUUAAGACUUAGAGAAACCUAAUUCUAACCUUGCCAACCGCGUGGUCAAGUUUAGAUUAUGCAACCGAUUAUACUUGAAUUUAAACAAUCUAAGCAAUUACGGACCUAAAUCAUUCAAACAAUAUAUUACUCAUGCAAUUAAAAGCAAUAGGCCUUAAUUGAUUCUAAAAGCAAAGCAAUAAUAAUAGAAAGAUCAAGUUGCAUAAAUAUUGAAAAUAAAUAAGAGUUUAAUAAUGGAGUUUUAAAUCUCCCAAUUCAUCACAAAUAUGAAAUUUCCCAACUUCAACUAGAAAAUAAGGUGUUUAGCCACUCAUGGUGGACAAAAACACAAAGAGAUAGAAGAAAGGAAGAUGGAGAGGCUGCCGCAGGCUUGCUGCUGUAAUUCUGCAGUGGUUCCGAUGGUGGAGAUGAUCCUUGCUGGUUUUGAUGCUGUCCCUUUUAUAGAUGGAGAAUCAUAAUCCAAUUAGGGUUUGGAAAUCCUAAUCUUGACUUGGUCUUUUGUAGUCUUUGAUUCCUCUUUUGAUUUUGUAUUUAAUUGUGAAUGGAAUUCUUUGAGUGAAAAGACCUUCUCGUGGCUCUUGGAAUUGACUUUGUAGUGUUUGAAGUAGGAUUGGACUUCUCCUGUUUUGAAUUUUGAUUUUCUGCUCUUCUUUCCCGCGCUUCUGGUUUCUCUGGCGUCAGUGUGAUUUGGGCGGGUGAUUUGGGCAAAUCACUUGCCCAAAUCGUUUCUGUGAAUCACUUUCAGGUUUCUGCCUUUAGCCUUCUGCCUUGGUUUUCUGCAGGUGAUUUGGUCAAAUCACUCUAGCCCAAUCAAUUUCCCAGCUUUUUCUGCACUUUUUCUCCAACUUUCCAUUUUCUCCCUUUUCUGCAAAAACAUUACAAAAACAUAAAUUAAGCUGAAAAUUUGUGUAAUUAAACAGUAAUAAAGAUAGAAAAAAAUGUGGCUAAAUUAUGUUUGAUGAGAAGGGCAUAAGAGUUACUUCCAAUAUAGUUUAAUCUAAUUAGAUUAAGGCCCUAUUUUGUUUGGUAUUGAGUUUUAAGGUCAAAUAACAUUUUUUAUGCAGUUUGAAGAAUCUGUUUUGUAUUUUAGUAUUUUUAUGGUUAAAACAUGUCAAAUAAGCUUAAUCCUUUUUUGAUAUUUUAACUAAUAUAUUUAAGCAAGUGUUUUUCUCCAUAGCAUCUCUAAUAGCAAUGCCAAAGACCCUAUAUCAAGUUGAACACUUCCAUUUUUUAAAAACUAGCUUUGUCAGAAUGCUACCUUUCAUAUAUAGUGUUAAUAAUUUAUUAUGAC